rnacentral:lncRNA from 1 species
UUUCCUCCUUCAACGAAGUCAUCUGACCUCUAUAAAAAGUUCAUGUGAAGAUUGAUGCUGAUCAGGAUCCUUGAAAAUGCUAGCUUGCAAGGAAACUUAGAGGUUGAUUUCUUUCUUCUUUAAGGGCCUUGGAUGCUCCAAAGGAUGAAGAGAUCUAGAGGAGGAAGAGAGGAAGAGGAGAAAGAGCUCUGAAAAACAAAAACCAGCAAGGGAACCAAUCUUAGGCAUCAACAAUAUGAGACCCCU